CGUUACCUUAUGGUAGCCAAUCAAUGUUCCAGCAAUCUGAGAGGAACGCUUUCGGGUGAUUGCGAUAUCAAUGUUCCAGUAGUCUGAGAGGAAUGCCUUCGGGUGACUGCAUCAUCUGCCAUACCUGAAAAGGCAGACAGUAAAUACUCUGGGUAAACCC
rnacentral:sRNA from 1 species